CAUCACACUAGUAUUCUGCUUGUAUCAGCUACAGGUGUAAUUUACCUGCUGUGUUCGACAUUGGAUAAAAUAUAGGACUCAAACUUGUUCUAACUUUCUACAACUGCAAGAUCGCAGCUCCGAAGAGCAGGAGGAAACUGCAUCCUCAGAUUUUGAAAGCACAUCUGACCAAACACAACUGAAGUAUGCUGCUCCCUUCAGAAGCCAUGACAGAAGAUCGUGACAGCGAUUUCUUAAAGAAAAUGGCUUCCAAACAUUCUCUCCAAGAAAAGGAUUUCUCCUGUCCAGUGUGCAGUAAUCUUCCAGGAUCCUGUAAUCCUGUCAUGUAGCCACAGCUUUUGUAAAGUCUGUCUCAGUGCAUUCUGGAAACAAAAUGAUUCUCUGGAAUGUCCAAUUUGCAGCAGAAUAUCCUCAAAUGAAGAACCUCCUCAUAACCUAAUUUUAAAGGAACUGUGUGAGGCCUUCUUAGAGGAGAAGAAUCGGAGAGAUUCAGCAGGGCCUGAGGGGCUCUGCUUUCUGCACCACGAGAAACUCAAACUCUUCCGUCUGAAUGAUAAACAACCAGUGUGUUUUGUGUGUCAUACUUCUAAAAAAACAUGCCAACCACAAUUUCUGUCCCAUGGAUGAAGCUGCACAGGAUUUGAAGUGUCAAUUUUCAUAUUCUAGGAGGAACUCAAGACUUUAUUGAAGCCCUUACAGAAGAAGUUUGAGAUCUUCCAUAAAGUGAAACUAGCCUGCCAUCAAACAGUAACCCAUAUUAAAGCUACAAGCAGAGGACACAGAAAGGCAGAUUAAAGGGGAGUUUGAGAAGAUACACCAGUUGCUUCGAGAGGACGAGGAGGCCAGGUUAGCUACUCUGAAGGAAGAAGAGUCAAUUGAUGAAGAAGAAGAUUGAUGAGAUGAUCGGAGGGUUAUCAUCACUUUCAGACACAAUCAAAGCAAUAGAGGAGGAGCUGAAAGCAGAAGAUAUCUCAUUCCUUCAGCUGCCGUGACUCUGGAUCCCAAGACUGCCCACCCAUCUCUCAUCUUGUCUGAUGAUCUGACCACUUUGAGACUUGGUGAUGGGAUGCAGAAGCAUCCUGACAACCCAGAGAGGUUUGAUAACAAUAGAAUGGUCCUGGGCUCUGACGGCUUUAACUCAGGGACACACAUCUGGGAUGUUGAUGUUGGGAACAGUGUAGACUGGACCCUGGGUGUGGUUACAGAGACUGUCCGGAGGAAGGGAGGAAUACGCAGUGGACUCUGGGGUCUAAAUUAUAAAUCAGGUCAUAUUCCCUACCAAAUUCAACCAUUCCCUUCACGUUGGGCCAGAGACCCCAGAGGAUCCAGUGCAGCUGGACUGGUGAAAGAGGAAAGCUGUCAUUCCAUGACCCUUUAAAUAACUCACACCUACACACAUUCACACACACUUUCGCUGAGAGAGUUUUUCCCUGCCUUGGUAAUCGAUGUGAACACCAGCCUCUAAAGACCUUGCCAUGGCCUCUGUAACAGUGGAACAACAUAGUUAGAGCUGAUAGGCCUCUUGUCUAGGAACAGCACAGUUAGAGCUGAUAAGGAAGUUAUAAUGUCUCAUAUCACAACUUUGAAGGUGAAAUAUGUAACCUAUUGGGCGACCUGACCAACUUCACAUAGAAUGGUAAGUGUUAGAUCUGCAAUUCUCAUUGAAAGAAAGUCUAAGAAGCGGAAGAGCUGUUCUUUGUGCGCUACUUCUAUGCUUCCCGUUCCUAAGUUUUGUUUUUGUAUCUUUUACUUUCGGUCUUGUACACCAGCUUCAAACAGCUGAAAAGACAAUCUUUUUGGUUAUGAAAAGAUGUUUCACAGCGGUUGAGAUGGUACAAUUAUUCUCUACACUGUACAUUGCUUGUUUUGUCACAUAAACUGAAAUUAGGCGAAAUAUUAGAAUUUUGGCAACCAGGACAUUUCUGCACUUUGCGCCUUUAAAUCGAGCACCUACUGAUAUUAUAAAGACUUGACUGAUUUGAACUUAAUGCUUAAACUGUUGAUAAAGCACGAGAGUAAAACUGACACCUAGUCCAAAUGUAGUCGAGUAUAAUCAUGUUUCUUAUUUGUAUUAUAUAAGAUUGAUUUGUUAAUUAUUUGCUCUUCUUGCCUUAAGUAUAUGACCAAUUGCAUGGAAACACAAAGCCAUACUGUAACUGUCAUUCCCUAUUACAUGAUUCAACCAAAUACAUUCUUUGUACAUGCUUUGUAGAACUGUGAAUUCUGUCCUGGGUAAAGGCUCUCACACUGUAGAAUUCAGCUUGUAUUAGCUGCAGGUGUAAUUUACCUGCUGUGUUCGACAUUGGAUACGAUAUAGGAAUCAAAGUUAUUCUAACCUUUUUUUUUAUGACUACAAGAUAGCAACUCCUAAUAGAAAGAUACAACUGCAUCAAUAUGAGAUUUGAAAGCACACCUGGCUAAACAAGACUGAAGUAUACUGCUCCCUUCAGACACAAUCAGAGCUGUAGAGGAGCUGAAAGCAGAAGGGAUCUCAUUCUUGCAGGUAAGAACCGACAGUUCUGUGACAAGAAGACAUUAUUUGAGAUAUUUAUCGAUGAACUGAUUUCAUCUCAUGUAUUAUGAGGAUAUAUUACUCAGUUGGUCUUUGUGCUCCUACAGAACUAUAAGGCCUACUGUAGAAAAGGCCCAUGGAGUUGGUGGAAUAAUCCCUUAAUUCAUUGCCAUUUACUCAGCUGGGCCA